rnacentral:rRNA from 1 species
GACAGAGGUGCCAAGCGUUAGGCGGAAUCACUGGGCUUAAAGCGUGUGUAGGCGGACUUCUAAGUACCUUGUGAAAUCCCAUGGCUCAACCAUGGAACUGCUUGGUAUACUGGUUGUCUUGAGCCACUUAGGGGCAGUCGGAACAGAUGGUGGAGCGGUGAAAUGCGUAGAUAUCAUCUGGAACGCCAAAGGUGAAACCAGACUGCUGGGAGUGUGCUGACGCUGAGACACGAAAGCUAGGGGAGCGAACGGG